rnacentral:rRNA from 1 species
CUUUUCUUGUUUUGGAUAGGAAAUAUGGCCUGCCCACUGAAUGUUUUAAAGGGCCGCGGUAAUUUGACCGUGCAAAGGUAGCAUAAUCAUUAGUUUUUUAAUUGGAGGCUGGAAUGAAUGGUUGGACGAGAUAUAGACUGUCUUAAUUUAAAUUAUUGAAAUUAAUUAUUAGGUAAAAAAGCCUAAAUGGAUUUAUGGGACGAGAAGACCCUAUAGAAUUUAAUAGACUAAUAUUGUUUAUUAUGUAUGUUGAUUAUAUUAUAAUUUUGUUUAUUUUGUUGGGGUGAUGAGAAGAUAAAUUGAACUCUUUUAUUUGUGGUUGUAUUGAUGUAUAUAUAGUGGAUCCAUUUAUUAGUGAUUUAAAGAUUAAAUUACCUUAGGGAUAACAGCGUAAUUUUUUUUGAGAGUUCAUAUCGACAGAGAAGAUUGCGA